rnacentral:lncRNA from 1 species
AAACCAUGCAGCUGUGGACAGAACUCGCCUCGGGACCUCGGGCUGGGAGUGUCUCAGAGCAGUGCAUGCCAGGCCUCCACAUCCCACCAACACAUGCUGCAGCACUGUCUGACUUCAGCAUCUGAAUGCAUGAGAAGCGGAGUCUCACUGGGGCUGUAAUCUGCAUUCUCCAGUGACCGGCAGUGCCACGCAGCAUCCCCCUGCUCACUGGCCACUGUAUGUCUAUGGAGAAACAUCUGUCCAGACCCAUCGCCCAUCUCUGCACCUUUCUGCUCAUUUCUAAGAGACGAGUUCUCCCUAUGUUGCCCAAGCUGCUCUCAAACUCCUGGGCUCAAGCGAUCCACCUGCCUUGGCCUCCCGAAGUGCUGGGAUUACAGGCGUGAGCCACCGCGCCCGGCCCACAUGAAUGAUUUAUUCCACUUGGCGCUCCUUUUCCUCGUUUCACUGUACAUCGAUGAAGACAUUGGCACCAACGCACAGGUCCAUGGAUCAGAGUUGAGGAAAGUCUGUUCCAAUCUUAACCCUUUUGGUGCUGGCUUUGUUUUACUGAAGACGAAACAGAGGGUCCAAGUGGUUACAUCCCGAGCGCCGGCAGUGGCUGCACGAGGCAGGACUGCCUCCAGCUCUAACUGUACUGCACCUGCACCCACCAGCCAGGGUCCGCCGCUUUCAGCCGGAAUCCAUAGACAAUUCACACGGCAAAGAGAGGAGACCAAGCUUGGGUUUCAAAAUGAGCUGAAAUAUCAAAGCAGAAUAAAGUCACUUCUUUAAACGUGGGGCCAUUUCAGAGUUAAUUUCACAAAAGGAGACAUCGUGUUGCUUCAAACUGCUGUGCAAACAUCAGAGUGACUCGUUAUCUAAGUCUCAGUCAGAAACACUGGCAGUCACUUCUGAUCUGCGUUAGAUUGUAAGUCAUUUGUUCUCCUCUAAAUAGCAACAAGAGGCCGGGCAUGGUGGUUCAUGCCUGUAAUCCCAACACUUUGGGAGGCCGAGGCAGGUGGAUCACAAGGUCAAGAGAUCAAGACCAUGCUGGCCAACAUGGUGAAGCCCUGUCUCUACUAAAAAUACAAAAAUUAGCCGGGUGUGGUGAUGCGCACCCAUAAUACCAGCUACACGGGAAGCUGAGGCAGAAGAAUCACUUAAACCUGGGAGGCAGAGGUUGCAGUGAACCGAGAUCACGCCACUGCACUCCAGCCUGGGGACAGAGCGAAACUCCAUCUCAAAAAAAAAAGAAAAAAAGAAAAGAAACUCUGAAGUCAGUCUGAAGCCUGGGAGGGACAAAGGUGUUUUGCAGGUUCCUGCAGCUCAGGCACCCAGCGGGGGCUCACUUGAGAGGGUUAAGAGGGUGAGUGCCUGGGAGGAGCCUUCAAUCAAAACUUAGCUGUAGCUGAGUCCAACUGUGUGGUACCUCCCCAGCACAGCCCUCUGACCUGGGAACAGGCCCAGAGAACACAGAGGGAGUGAAGGUUGGUUAUCUCCCCCUGAGGUCUGCGCUCCUACCCCUGGCUCCUGAUCCGAGCCCUUGCUGUCAGAGAAGACAGGAACCUCACACUUCCUGAACACGCGCAAUGCCCCUACCAAAACACGGGAGCUGCAGGCGGGCCUUUGGUCUUCUUCUGCUCCGUGCCCAUUGCCAUCUUCCAGAAGACACACAUCAUGCCUGUUCUCUCCUUCCACGCCAGGCCAGGGGAGAGGGUGGCCCCCACCCCAACCCCAACUCUGCUCCAACCGAAGGAGCCUCCUCCUGUGUGCACCCCCGUCCCCAGCACGGCGCAGCUCUACCACCAAACAGACAAAGCACAGCCAGCUCUGAUUGACCCAGGGAGGCCGGGGACCUUGCCCUCUGGAGCAGCCCACAUGGCCCACGGAUGGCGCAGUGGCCCCCACACAGAAGGCUGCCCUUGGGCUCCUUUCCGGAGCGGCAUGGCCCGGAGGAAGUGGCCAGGUAGCAAGGCCAGGCUACAGUGAGGCUGGCGGAAAGAAGAGGAAAUGGGCGUGGACACCAUCUGCCGGACUCAGAGCCCUGGGGACUCAGGCAGUCUGACAGCAACCUUGGCCCAUGAAAACACGGAGCCUAAGGGGCUCCCGGGAGAGGACAGUCCAGGCUCCGAGCCCAGCUCAGAUGAGAGGCUGCCCGGAUAAUGACCUUCAGAGGGCUCUGCUCAUCAUUACAUGAAAUUAUGCAAAUGAGACUUUAUGUAUUUAUUUAAGAGUCUCUGUUGCCCAGGUUGGAGUGCAGUGGUGUGAUCUGGGCUCAUUGCAAUCUCCACCUCCCAGGUUCAAGUAAUUCUCAUGCCUCAGCCUCCCAAGUAGAUGGGAUUACAGGCGUGAGCCACCGUGCCUGGCCAAGACUCUUUUAAAAUGCGAAUUCAGGCCAGGCGAGGUGGCUCAGGCCUGUAACCCCAGCACUUUGGGAGGCCGAGGCAGGUGGAUCACCUGAGGUCAGGAGUUCAAGACCAGCCUGGCCAACAGGGUGAAACCCCGUCUCUACUAAAAAUACAAAAAUUAGCUGGGUGUGGUG